rnacentral:rRNA from 1 species
AUUGAACGCUGGCGGCAGGCCUAACACAUGCAAGUCGAACGAGUGGCGGACGGGUGAGUAAUGUCUGGGAACCUGCCCGAUGGAGGGGGAUAACUACUGGAAACGGUAGCUAAUACCGCAUACCAUCGGAUGUGCCCAGAUGGGAUUAGCUAGUUGGUGGGGUAAAGGCUCACCUAGGCGACGAUCCCUAGCUGGUCUGAGAGGAAGACCAGCAACACUGGGACUGAGACACGGUCCAGACUCCUACGGGAGGCAGCAGUGGGGAAUUUUGGACAAUGGGCGCAAGCCUGAUGCAGCCAUGCCGCGUGUAUGAAGAAGGCCUUCGGGUUGUAAAGUACUUUCGGCGGGGAGGCGGUACCCGCAGAAGAAGCACCGGCUAACUACGUGCCAGCCGCCGCGGUAAUUC